rnacentral:rRNA from 1 species
UCCUACGGGAGGCAGCAGUAGGGAAUCUUCCGCAAUGGACGAAAGUCUGACGGAGCAACGCCGCGUGAGUGAUGAAGGUUUUCGGAUCGUAAAACUCUGUUGUUAGGGAAGAACAAGUAUCGUUCGAAUAGGGCGGUACCAUGACGGUACCUAACCAGAAAGCCCCGGCUAACUACGUGCCAGCAGCCGCGGUAAUACGUAGGGGGCAAGCGUUGUCCGGAAUUAUUGGGCGUAAAGGGCUCGUAGGCGGCCUGUCAAGUCUGAUGUGAAAGCCCACGGCUUAACCGUGGAGGGUCAUUGGAAACUGGAGGACUUGAGUACAGAAGAGGAGAGUGGAAUUCCACGUGUAGCGGUGAAAUGCGUAGAGAUGUGGAGGAACACCAGUGGCGAAGGCGACUCUCUGGUCUGUAACUGACGCUGAGGAGCGAAAGCGUGGGGAGCGAACAGGAUUAGAUACCCUGGUAGUCCACGCCGUAAACGAUGAGUGCUAGGUGUUAGGGGGUUUCCGCCCCUUAGUGCUGAAGUUAACGCAUUAAGCACUCCGCCUGGGGAGUACGGCCGCAAGGCUGAAACUCAAAAGAAUUGACGGGG